rnacentral:tRNA from 1 species
GGAAGGUACAGCUCAGUGGUAGAGCACACCCCUAACAAACAUGAGGUCUGGGUUCAAUCCCCAGAACUUCCA